rnacentral:rRNA from 1 species
UACGGAGGGUGCAAGCGUUAUCCGGAUUCACUGGGUUUAAAGGGUGCGUAGGUGGGUUAGUAAGUCAGUGGUGAAAUCCCCGAGCUUAACUUGGGAACUGCCAUUGAUACUAUUAAUCUUGAAUACCGUGGAGGUCAGCGGAAUAUGUCAUGUAGCGGUGAAAUGCUUAGAUAUGACAUAGAACACCAAUUGCGAAGGCAGCUGGCUACGCGAAUAUUGACACUGAUGCACGAAAGCGUGGGGAUCAAACAGG